ACGCUCGACACCUACGGGGCAGCAGUGGGGAAUAUUGCACAAUGGGGGAAACCCGUGAUGCAGCGACGCCGCGUGAGCGAAGAAGUAUUUCGGUAUGUAAAGCUCUAUCAGCAGGGAAGAAACUGACGGUACCUGACUAAGAAGCACCGGCUAAAUACGUGCCAGCAGCCGCGGUAAUCUGAGGCGGGCUGGCAAGGC
rnacentral:rRNA from 1 species